rnacentral:rRNA from 1 species
GCAGUCGAGCGGUUAUAGGGAUUAUCGAUAGUUUUUAUGAUAGUGGCGCACGGGUGCGUAACGCGUAUGCAACCUACCUUCAAUUGGGGGAUAACUCUGGGAAACGGGAAUUAAUACCGCAUAAUAUAGUAAUGCUUCAUGGCAUAGCUAUUAAAGAUUUAUCGAUUGAAGAUGGGCAUGCGUGACAUUAGUUAGUUGGUGAGGUAACGGCUCACCAAGACUUCGAUGUCUAGGGGUUCUGAGAGGAUGAUCCCCCACACUGGUACUGAGAUACGGACCAGACUCCUACGGGAGGCAGCAGUAGGGAAUAUUGGUCAAUGGACGCAAGUCUGAACCAGCCAUGCCGCGUG